GCCGUCCCCCGGGCUCACCUCGCCGCGGGGUGACUCAGGGCGGGGGUUUUCGGUUUCGGGGGGCACCGGCAGCCGGGCCGAGGUCCACGUGGGGCAGGGAGGCUGCUUUCGGCCUCCCCGCGGCCUCCGGCAGCUUUUACGAGAAGUUGUAAAAUCAAAAGAGAAACGCGAGCGGCGGCCGUGAGCAGAACGGCUCGUGUCCAAACACGCCUGGAGACGCGAAGGAGCGUGCUCUUCCGGCUCAUGUGAGAACAGACCUCACCUCUGCUAAAAGCAUGCUGAAUCCACAUUGACUGGAUGGCAGGAACCGCGUCAAGAGAAACAGAUCAAGUUGGAAGUCAAAGUGAACAUAGGUAUUGCAAAAACAACUCAACUGGUUAUGGCUGCAAGUUCCUGUUUAUUGUUUCCCAUGGACAAAAGACGUAGCCCAGGGAUGUGUAAUCUUGACAGCUAACAGUUUGCUCACAGCUGAAGAAAACAAAACAAAACAAAAAACUGGCUGUGGGGUCUGCAGAGUACAGCUUUCCUGAAGCAAAUCUUCCUGACCAUCUGACAAGACACUUGUUUGGCUCAGCUCAUGCUAGUGAGAAAAGCACUCUUAUGUUUGGGGAUGAAACUCUACACAAGUCCCCGGAAGAAGCCUACGCUCUUGGAUUACCAGGGGCUGGAUGAAGAGAAUUGCACCAUUUCCCAUCACUCAAGACCACCCAGCUGUCAUCAGCACCCACACUGCACAUCCGACCCACUUCUAGGUGAGUCAAAAUCCCAGAAUACUGAUUGUCCAGCAGAAGUAAUUAUUGCUUCAUUCAUCACCAGCCGGAAACAGGGUCUAAAACCUUUUGGGAACAGCCUCCAGAUGGACAUCAGUCUGGAACUGGAGUGUUCCCAAAGAUCUGAGGAGCCCUUCAAAGCCCUCAACCAAGGUGCAUUUCUGGCUCCCUAUUUCUCCUAUAAGUAGCAAACUGCUAAUUCCUAAGACAGCUCCUACUUGAACCAAAUAACUUUUGCUAAAUCUGAUGUUCAGCAUUGCUUUUACUCAAAAUAGGGGGUUAAUGCAGCAUCUCUGUAGCUCUGUGGUUAACACUUGCUGCUUUUACUGUAGAAUCCUGCAAGAAAGGACACAGGCCUCUGUUGAUACAGCUCCAAAUAAACUGUUAACCAGGUUCACUUCUUUGGCCAGGUAGGGCAUGCCUAAGAUCCUUCCUUUCCUUCCCAGCUCCCCAGGGUACUGGCAAGGUUUCGUAGAGAAGCCUGAAUGGCACAGUGUGAACUAGAUCUGCUUCAAAACAGAGCUUAUUAGUGCAGCUCACCCAUCUUUUCCAAAUAUCACAGUUGUCUUCACAUUUUGAAAAGCAAUUAAAAUCAACAGCACUGUAACAUCUCACAGCUGUAGUAAACAUUUCCUUUGGCCGUGGCAAACUGCCCUGGGGACUUUAAACCACAAACAGCAAUGCAAUUCUGCUUGCAGUGGGGAUGCGCAUUAAAGUUUGACACAAAAACUAGUUCGUGUCCCCUGUCCCCCCCCCAUUUUUUUUUCUUGUUUUUUCUUUGCAAAUCACCUGGGGAGCCACAACCUCCAGUGUGCUGAAGUUAGAAAAAGAAAGACACCUGAGCAAACCAGAGCUUGGUAUUCUGGAAUUUAUGAAAAGCAUAAAGUUUGGUAGAAGCAAGUAUUAAUCAUGGAUUGCUGAGAGUGAUGCACACCCUACAUAAUAUUCAUUUCUCACUGGCUACAGGUUUGUCUGGUUAAUCCCACACACUGAUAUUCAUUGCCUAAAUGAAUACACCCACAGCAAGAACAGAGCAAUUUUGCGGGGGAUGUUAGUUGGCAUAACUUCACUGACUGUUAACAAGUCUUCAUUCUUUAUGGACCAGUUGCCAGUCAUGGCUCUGUCCAUGAUUUAUAGGGCUUAGAAGUGCCAUCAUCAUCCUGCAAAUGAAGAGAUAGAAGCAAGAAGUGUAGAGCUUGUCUGAGGGUACUGCAAAACCAGCAACUAAACAUCUGACAGUUGCAGACCUCUAUUUACAAAUGUAAAUUGCCUGGUGGUGUCGGUCUUGUUGUGUUGAAGCAACUCUUGCAAAGUGCCCUAGCUCACAAAUAGAUGCCUUAUCUGAAAAGGACUUUUCAAGAACAGUAAGCUCUCACAGGCUGUUGUGUUUGAACUGGACAUUGUCACAGAAACGUGCCGUUCCUCAUGUUGCAUUAUACUUGUUAAACAAUUCUUCCUUCUCACUCGGAUCUGCAGUUAAGUGCCUUGCAGAAGGUUCCCAGCUCUGACUGGGUUUGUUGCCUGCAGAGGCACAGCAGGAAUUAGCCUGUGCAGAGCACCAUGUGGCAGGGGAAGGCACGCAGCUCGCCCGGCUGUCACCUCACGCACUGGGGGCAGCCCUGGGGCAGGGGUCCCUCACCUCUGCGCCGGGGCGGAUUUCAGACAUGGGAACCGUGAGCUGCUCUUAGGGCUACCCCGAGUAGCAGAAAACGCAAAACCACUGUAAUGUGCGUAAAUCCAGCGGUCGUAUGUGGAAUGGAAGCCAGUGUAAGCUUUCGAACGAGUAGAAACAGCUUGUGUCUGAAAGCUAGAGCGCUUUGAGCAGCACUCCCCUGGGAGGCUCGGA